AUAUCCAAAUAGCGGAGGAAAAGAAACUAACAAGGAUUCCCCUAGUAACGGCGAGUGAAGCGGGAUGAGCUCAAGCUUAAAAUCUCCGUACAAGUUUUGUACGGCGAAUUGUAGUCUAUAGAGGCGUGGUCAGCGUGAGCGCUUGGGGUAAGUUCCUUGGAAGAGGACAGCAUGGAGGGUGAUACUCCCGUUCAUCCCUGAGUGGCUCGUGCGUACGACCCGUUUUCUUUGAGUCGCGUUGUUUGGGAAUGCAGCGCAAAGUAGGUGGUAAAUUCCAUCUAAAGCUAAAUAUUGGUGCGAGACCGAUAGCGAACAAGUACCGUGAGGGAAAGAUGAAAAGAACUUUGAAAAGAGAGUUAAAGAGUACCUGAAACUGCUGAAAGGGAACCGAAUCGUUUCCAGUGUCUAUAAUCCGUGGCAUAUUUCAUUGGCGAGUGUGUGCGUGCGUGUGCUGUGGCAGCGGCCUUUUGGCUGCGCUUGGCGCAUGUGGUGUGCGUGCUUGCUGGUGCCCUGUGCUGCGGUGGGACGUCAACGUCAGUUCGUAUGCUGCGGGAAAUGGCUGCCGAGGAGGUAGGGCUUACGCUUGCGUUUGUCUGUUAUAUCUUGGUGGACGAGUCGUCGCGGUUGGGACUGAGGUGCCUACAACGUGCUUUUGAGUGGGUUUGUGUCUCCGUGUGUGCCAUGUGCGGAUAGCUUGCUAUGCGUGUGUGGUUAUGUGUGGAUUGAUACGGGCUUUAACUUGUUGCCGUUCGGGACGUUGACGAAAUGGAGCGAUCCGACCCGUCUUGAACCCACGGACC
rnacentral:rRNA from 1 species